rnacentral:rRNA from 1 species
UGAUCCCAUGCCGAACUCAGAAGUGAAACGCCGUAGCGCCGAUGGUAGUGUGGGGUCUCCCCAUGUGAGAGUAGGGAACUGCCAAGC